GCGGUGGAAGGGUCAAACCGCGCCACGCAGCGAGAGCGCGUCCCCGCGGGGUCCCGCCGGGACCACAAAUCCCGGCAUGCCUCGCGCGCGACGAGGCUCCUCGAGGGGGGUGCCCCUGGGAGAAUGACAUUGAUAAACAGAAAUCGUUUCAGUUCAACUAAUAAAUUGGAUCCGUGGGACUCGUUUCUCCCUGGGCGGUGUCUGUGCCCCACGCCCCGGCGGCGCGGGCUGCAGCGGUGCCCCGCUGUCCCGGUGGGGACGUGGCGUUCGGGGAUGCCGAGGGCUCCGUGCUGGCAGUGAAACCCCUCGAGGCAACGCUCUGCCAGCGUUUUUUUAAAAUUAUUUUAAAUUCUGGGUGCAGAGGAGGGGUGUAACAGCGUUCACUUCUUCCAGUCGCUCAGCCGCCAGCAUCUUCAGCGGGAAGGCCGUGCACGUGGAUACAGAUCCAUCAUUAAUGACAGAAAACUUAAGUUACAGGGUUACAGGGGACAAUUUUGCCCGCUCUGCCCAGUUCUGUCAGGCAGCACUGCCCCCCUGCCUGAGGUGCAGCCGUCCCGCAGAAAUCACAUCGGUACUGGAAAGGAGGCAUGGAUAAGAGAGCAGGGUUUGUUCGGAUGGCUGGGCCAUGCCAGGGAAAGCCAAAAGCAAUCCCAGUCCCUCACCGGCAGUGAGCUGAUGCUGCAGGAGAGGAGUCCUGUACUUCAUGAAAUUGCCCUUGGCAGGCAUAAAGAGGAAAAGCUGCAGUCAAAGUACAAAGCUUCUUGUAGCCUCAAGAUAUGUCGGAGGAUAAAGAAACAGUACCUCGAAGGGCUAGAAAUUCUUCUCUAACAGACAGCUCAGUCACCAGUUCUGCUACUAAAGACUGGCAAGGACUAGGAGCAAGCAGUACAUGCAAAAAUUCAUUUUCUUAUAUGGACAUUAUUUCUGUGUCCACUCUUGAAUCUGCACAUGUUGAGAAGCGAGGAUUUUGUGCUAAUUUCAAGGGAACAUUUGCUGUCAUCUACAUUUACUGCAGGGUUUUUCAUCAUCCAGAUUUUGGAGGCACGAGAGGUGUGAAUGGCAACUGUACAGCAUCCUGGCCCUUCCAGAGGAAAUCCAUUUGAACAUUGGACAGUUAG